rnacentral:lncRNA from 1 species
AUUUGCCCUGCUGGGUGACACACACAUAAACAGACACGUCUUUUACCCUGUCAAUACGAGUUAAUGUGUUCAGAACACUAGAGAAGAGAGCAGUGUGGCCAAUGGCUCCACCUCGAGGCGUUUUUCAGUAACUGCAAAAAAGAGUAGGCAAUGCCGUCCAAAAUGAGUUCAAGGAAACUCGAUUCCCAGAGGCCAAUUUUGGAUGUCAGCAGGCAUCGCAUGGACGAAGAUAACAGCCUUCAAGCAGAUGUCAGAGAAUGAAGUGAGAGGAUCCAGUCAGCCCCAGUCCUUCCUGGCUCAACAGAGGCAGUCUGCUACACUCAGAAGGGUCCAAACUAAUAUAAAACGAUGAAUUUGCUCAUAAUCUCGAGUCUGUACAUAGCGCCUUGGUGAGACACGAGCUCCACCUGCUGGUUUCUGAAUGUAUUUGCAUGCACAUAUUAGUUUUAUCCUGUAGUAUUUUUAUUAAAAGCCGUCGAUGCAAAAAUAUUUGUUUAUUUGGGUUUUGUGUUCUUUUUAUAUACAGUUUUUGUAAUUUAUUAAAUUUUAUUUAUUGUAUUUGUAAUUAAUUAUUUGAUUUAUUAAAUAUAGCCUAAACAAAAACAAGACCUCGGGAUCACUUGUUUACUCGUAUCUUCUUAUUUUACAUACCCCAAAUUCAGUAAAUGUGAGUAAAUAAAACUGAAGUUUUGCCAAACA